rnacentral:lncRNA from 1 species
UGUCGCUAAAAAUUAUUAUUGUUUGUAUUGAUUAACUUUAUUUCAAUGGUUCUUUAAAUUUUUUCUUUUUUUUUCUAUUUUUAAAGGAUACUUUCAUACGUAUUUAGUCCAAUUGUGUUGGGAUAGUUUCCAUGGCAACCAAGGGUCAAAAGGAAAGAAUAAAUAUAUGAAACUCAUUUUCAUACAACACCUUUUAUACAAACAAAAUAUAAAGGUAUU